GUGCUUGCUUCGGCCGCACAUUUAGUAAAAUUGGAAUAAUACAGAGAAGAUUAGCAUGGCCCCUGCACAAGGAUGACAUGCAAAUUCAUGAAGCAUUCCAUAUUUUU
rnacentral:snRNA from 1 species